rnacentral:rRNA from 1 species
AUUGAACGCUGGCGGCAUGCUUUACACAUGCAAGUCGAACGGCAGCACGGGUGCUUGCACCUGGUGGCGAGUGGCGGACGGGUGAGUAAUACAUCGGAACGUAUCCAGAAGAGGGGGAUAACGCAUCGAAAGAUGUGCUAAUACCGCAUAUUCUCUGAGGAGGAAAGCAGGGGACCGCAAGGCCUUGCGCUCUUUGAGCGGCCGAUGUCAGAUUAGCUAGUUGGUGAGGUAAAGGCUUACCAAGGCGACGAUCUGUAGCGGGUCUGAGAGGAUGAUCCGCCACACUGGAACUGAGACACGGUCCAGACUCCUACGGGAGGCAGCAGUGGGGAAUUUUGGACAAUGGGCGCAAGCCUGAUCCAGCCAUGCCGCGUGAGUGAAGAAGGCCUCGGUUGGUAAGUACGUAC